GUGUUGCCAGAAAUGGGAAGGUUUGCCCAAACCGCGAAAAGGAUAGGAGAGAUUCAUAAAGCCAUUUAAUUACCCAUUUACAUUUGGGAUGUACCCUUUAUAAAAGGGUAUUAUGGUAAUUUCAUAU